AACCUCUUCGGAGGGGAUUAGUGGCGAACGGGUGAGUAACACGUGGGCAAUCUGCCCUGCACUCUGGGACAAGCCCUGGAAACGGGGUCUAAUACCGGAUACGACCAUCUCGGGCAUCCGAUGGUGGUGGAAAGCUCCGGCGGUGCAGGAUGAGCCCGCGGCCUAUCAGCUUGUUGGUGGGGUGAUGGCCUACCAAGGCGACGACGGGUAGCCGGCCUGAGAGGGCGACCGGCCACACUGGGACUGAGACACGGCCCAGACUCCUACGGGAGGCAGCAGUGGGGAAUAUUGCACAAUGGGCGGAAGCCUGAUGCAGCGACGCCGCGUGAGGGAUGACGGCCUUCGGGUUGUAAACCUCUUUCAGCAGGGAAGAAGCGCGAGUGACGGUACCUGCAGAAGAAGCACCGGCUAACUACGUGCCAGCAGCCGCGGUAAUACGUAGGGUGCGAGCGUUGUCCGGAAUUAUUGGGCGUAAAGAGCUCGUAGGCGGCUUGUCGCGUCGGAUGUGAAAGCCCGGGGCUUAACCCCGGGUCUGCAUUCGAUACGGGCAGGCUAGAGUUCGGUAGGGGAGGUCGGAAUUCCUGGUGUAGCGGUGAAAUGCGCAGAUAUCAGGAGGAACACCGGUGGCGAAGGCGGAUCUCUGGGCCGAUACUGACGCUGAGGAGCGAAAGCGUGGGGAGCGAACAGGAUUAGAUACCCUGGUAGUCCACGCCGUAAACGUUGGGAACUAGGUGUGGGCGACAUUCCACGUCGUCCGUGCCGCAGCUAACGCAUUAAGUUCCCCGCCUGGGUAGUACGGCCGCAAGGCUAAAACUCAAGGAAUUGACGGGGGCCCGCACAAGCGGCGGAGCAUGUGGCUUAUUCGACGCAACGCGAAGAACCUUACCAAGGCUUGACAUACACCGGAAAGCCGUAGAGAUACGGUCCCCCUUGUGGUCGUGUACAGGUGGUGCAUGCUGUCGUCAGCUCGUGUCGUGAGGUAAACCUCUUUCAGCAGGGAAGAAGCGCGAGUGACGGUACCUGCAGAAGAAGCACCGGCUAACUACGUGCCAGCAGCCGCGGUAAUACGUAGGGUGCGAGCGUUGUCCGGAAUUAUUGGGCGUAAAGAGCUCGUAGGCGGCUUGUCGCGUCGGAUGUGAAAGCCCGCUGGGACUGAGACACGGCCCAGACUCCUACGGGAGGCAGCAGUGGGGAAUAUUGCACAAUGGGCGGAAGCCUGAUGCAGCGACGCCGCGUGAGGGAUGACGGCCU
rnacentral:rRNA from 1 species